rnacentral:rRNA from 1 species
UGGGGAAUCUUGCACAAUGGGGGCAACCCUGAUGCAGCGACGCCGCGUGAGCGAUGAAGGUUUUCGAAUCGUAAAGCUCUGUCCUAUGGGAAGAUAAUGACGGUACCAUAGGAGGAAGCCCCGGCUAACUACGUGCCAGCAGCCGCGGUAAUACGUAGGGGGCGAGCGUUGUUCGGAAUUACUGGGCGUAAAGGGUUCGCAGGCGGCAUGGCAAGUCCGAUGUAAAAGGCGAAGGCUCAACCUUCGUAAGCAUCGGAAACUGUCAAGCUAGAGUGAAGGAGAGGCAAGUGGAAUUCCUAGUGUAGCGGUGGAAUGCGUAGAUAUUAGGAGGAAUACCGGUGGCGAAGGCGACUUGCUGGGCUUCAACUGACGCUGAGGAACGAAAGCGUGGGUAGCAAACAGG